rnacentral:tRNA from 1 species
ACAAUUGUGGUUCAGUGGUAGAAUCCUUGUUUUCCACACAGGAGACCUGGGUUCAAUUCCCAGAUGCUUAUA